AUGGCCCUUUGCAGCGAGCUCGCCGACAUUAAGAAGCCGAACUCCUCCACCACGACCUACUUCAACAAGAUGAAGGUGUUGGCGGACACACUCACCUCUAUUGGUCGACCGCUCAGCGAUGAGGAGUUUGCUGGCUUUGUCAUCAAAGGCCUCGACGCCGACUACAACAAUCUUGCCGAGGUUGUUCACAAUGCCAAGCCAGCGAUGCCCCCGCACGAGCUCUACUCAUGA
rnacentral:rRNA from 1 species